AUACGGAGGGUGCAAGCGUUACUCGGAAUCACUGGGCGUAAAGCGCGCGCAGGCGGCUUGAUAAGUUGGAUGUGAAAGCCUACGGCCCAACCGUAGAACUGCAUCCAAAACUGUCAAGCUAGAGUCUGGGAGGGGAAGAUGGAAUUAGUUGUGUAGGGGUAAAAUCCGUAGAGAUAACUAGGAAUACCAAAAGCGAAGGCGAUCUUCUGGAACAGUACUGACGCUGAGGCGCGAAAGCGUGGGGAGCAAACAGGAUUAGAAACCCCAGUAGUCC
rnacentral:rRNA from 1 species